CACCUGGCCACUGCAGGGAUCUGUGUUUGGAAUACUGAUAUGGUUUGGCUCUGUCCCCACCCUCCUAAAUCUCAACUUGAAUUGUAACUCCCAGAAUUCCCAUGUGUUGUGGGAAGGACCCAGAGGGAGGUAAUUGAAUCAUGGGGGCCAGUCUUUCCCGUGCUACUCUUGUGGUAGUGAAUACAUCUCAUGAGAUCUGAUGGGUUUAUCAGGGGUUUCUGCUUUUGCUUCGUCCUCAUUUUUUCUUGCUGCCGCCAUGUGCCUUUUGCCUCCCGCCGUGAUUCUGAGGCUUCCCCAGCCAUGUGGAACUCACUUACUGGACACCUCCACCUGGAUGUGCCACGACCCUUGGCCUUGCUGGGCCCAGGAGGACCUUCUGCUUCCUCCCAAACCAACAUCUUCUGUGUUACCUAUUCCUGUUCAUGAUGGACUUCUGAUGAGCCCGGUCACCCAGGCUCUAGGACGUUGGAGUUUGGAUCUUGCUCAUGGCUGGCGAAGUGUUUAGAUCCUUUUGGAUGUCCUUCCAGAAGAGCACUCCCCAUCAACCCGCGGGCAGCUGAAUUCCCACCUCAGACUCUGCUCCAAGGGCGCCGUGUCUACGGAGGCGACGCUGAGGAUGGCUUAUCAGGUUGGGUCACUCACCCCACCACGAGGACCUGACCUUAAAUUCUCGGUGCAUCCUAAGUGUGACCCAGAGACCGCCUGCGUCAGAAGCACCUAGAAUGCUGUGGAAGCACCUUCAAUGCAGAUUCCUGGGCCCAACCCUGGUUCCACUGAAUCGGGGUCAGCUGGUGGGCCCAGGAAUUGGCAUUUUCAACAGCUUCCAAUUGUACACCAGAAUACUCAAGCUUGUGACUCCCCUGCUCACUGUUUUCUUCAUCCUUUCUCACUUCCUGCUGAGUACAUAUGUAUUUUACUACUUUUAGAGAUACUUUUACAAUAAAGGCAGUCUUGAAA
rnacentral:lncRNA from 10 species